rnacentral:rRNA from 1 species
GAUGAACGCUGGCGGCGUGCCUAAUACAUGCAAGUCGAGCGAACAGAUAAGGAGCUUGCUCCUUUGACGUUUGCGGCGGACGGGUGAGUAACACGUGGGUACCCUCCCUAUAAGACUGGUAUAAUUCCGUGAAACCGGGGCUUAUGCCGUAUAACAUUUAGAACCGCAUGGUUCUAAAGUGAAAGAUGGUUUUGCUAUCACUUAUAGAUGGACCCGCGCCGUAUUAGCUAGUUGGUAAGGUAACGGCUUACCAAGGCAACGAUACGUAGCCGAGCUGAGAGGGUGAUCGGCCACACUGGAACUGAGACACGGUCCAGACGACUAAGGGAGGCAGCAGUAGGGAAUCGGACGCAAUGGGCGAAAGCAUGACGGAGCAACGCCGCGUGAGUGAUGAAGGUCUUCGGAUCGUAAAACUCUGUUAUUAGGGAAGAACAAAUGUGUAAGUAACUGUGCACGUCUUGACGGUACCUAAUCAGAAAGCAACGGCUAACUACGUG